rnacentral:miRNA from 1 species
UGUGGUGUACGCUCUGAAACGC